AUUGAACGCUGGCGGCAGGCCUAACACAUGCAAGUCGAGCGGAGAGGCGGAAGGGUGAGUAAUGCCUAGGAAUAUGCAUGGUAGUGGGGGAUAAAGUACGGAAAAGGGAGCUAAUACCGCAUACUAUCGGAUGAGCUUCGGUCGGAUUAGAUGGUUGGUGGGGUAAAGGCAUACCAAGGCGACGAUCCGUAACUGGUCUGAGAGGAUGAUCAGUCACACUGGAAAUGAGACACGGUCCAGACUCCUACGGGAGGCAGCAGUGGGGAAUAUUGGACAAUGGGCGAAAGCCUGAUCCAGCCAUGCCGCGUGUGUGAAGAAGGUCUUCGGAUUGUAAAGCACUGUAAGUUGGGAGGCGUUACCAACAGAAUAAGCACCGGCUAACUACGUGCCAGCAGCCGCGGUAAUUC
rnacentral:rRNA from 1 species